rnacentral:rRNA from 1 species
CAACCUGCCGCUUACUCGGGGAUAGCCUUUCGAAAGAAAGAUUAAUACCCGAUGGUAUAAAGAGUUCGCAUGUUCUCUUUAUUAAAGAAUUUCGGUAAGCGAUGGGGAUGCGUUCCAUUAGAUUGUUGGCGGGGUAACGGCCCACCAAGUCUACGAUGGAUAGGGGUUCUGAGAGGAAGGUCCCCCACAUUGGAACUGAGACACGGUCCAAACUCCUACGGGAGGCAGCAGUGAGGAAUAUUGGUCAAUGGACGAGAGUCUGAACCAGCCAAGUAGCGUGAAGGAUGACUGCCCUAUGGGUUGUAAACUUCUUUUAUAAGGGAAUAAAGUGAGGGACGUGUCCCUUUUUGUAUGUACCUUAUGAAUAAGGAUCGGCUAACUCCGUGCCAGCAGCCGCGGUAAUAUGGAGGAUCCAAGCGUUAUCCGGAUUUAUUGGGUUUAAAGGGAGCGUAGGUUGACAUAUAAGUCAGCUGUGAAAGUUUACGGCUCAACCGUGAAAUUGCAGUUGAUACUGUAUGUCUUGAGUGUACAAGAGGUGGGCGGAAUUCGUGGUGUAGCGGUGAAAUGCUUAGAUAUCACGAAGAACUCCGAUUG